rnacentral:lncRNA from 1 species
CGAGGUCAUGUUGGCACUUGUUGGAAGAUUUACCCAGCCAGUCUGAAAUUUUCUUGACAACUCCAUCCACAUUCUUUUGGUCAUUUUGCUUGAGGAGCCGUCGCCAUUUCUGUAGGAAUGAAAUCUCCCAAGAAUCAAAACUUCAGAUGGAGAUUUAAUAAACCCCUUCUCAAGUGAAGGGAUUUGUAUCUUAAAUGGAAUAUCAUUUACCCAAGCAUCUUUCCAGAUCAGGAUUCUGUGAACAUUUUUU